GAUGAACGCUAGCGACAGGCUUAACACAUGCAAGUCGAGGGGCAGCGGGGGUAGCAAUACCCGCCGGCGACCGGCGCACGGGUGAGUAACGCGUAUGCAACUUACCUAUCAGAGGGGGGAUAACCCGGCGAAAGUCGGACUAAUACCGCAUGAAGCAGGGGCCCCGCAUGGGGAUAUUUGCUAAAGACUCAUCGCUGAUAGAUAGGCAUGCGUUCCAUUAGGCAGUUGGCGGGGUAACGGCCCACCAAACCGACGAUGGAUAGGGGUUCUGAGAGGAAGGUCCCCCACAUUGGUACUGAGACGCGGACCAAACUCCUACGGGAGGCAGCAGUGAGGAAUAUUGGUCAAUGGGCGUAAGCCUGAACCAGCCAAGUCGCGUGAGGGAUGAAGGUUCUAUGGAUCGUAAACCUCUUUUAUAAGGGAAUAAAGUGCGGGACGUGUCCCGUUUUGUAUGUACCUUAUGAAUAAGGAUCGGCUAACUCCGUGCCAGCAGCCGCGGUAAUACGGAGGAUCCGAGCGUUAUCCGGAUUUAUUGGGUUUAAAGGGUGCGUAGGCGGCCUUUUAAGUCAGCGGUGAAAGCCUGUGGCUCAACCAUAGAAUUGUCGUUGAAACUGGGAGGCUUGAGUAUGUUUGAGGCAGGCGGAAUGCGUGGUGUAGCGGUGAAAUGCUUAGAUAUCACGCAGAACCCCGAUUGCGAAGGCAGCCUGCCAAGCCAUGACUGACGCUGAUGCACGAAAGCGUGGGGAUCAAACAGGAUUAGAUACCCUGGUAGUCCACGCAGUAAA
rnacentral:rRNA from 1 species